GACGAACGCUGGCGGCGUGCUUAACACAUGCAAGUCGAACGGUAAGGCCCUUCGGGGUACACGAGUGGCGAACGGGUGAGUAACACGUGGGUGAUCUACCCUGCACUUCGGGAUAAGCCUGGGAAACUGGGUCUAAUACCGGAUAGGACCACUGCCUGCAUGGGUGGUGGUGGAAAGCUUUUGCGGUGUGGGAUGGGCCCGCGGCCUAUCAGCUUGUUGGUGGGGUGAUGGCCUACCAAGGCGACGACGGGUAGCCGGCCUGAGAGGGUGACCGGCCACACUGGGACUGAGAUACGGCCCAGACUCCUACGGGAGGCAGCAGUGGGGAAUAUUGCACAGUGGGCGCAAGCCUGAUGCAGCGACGCCGCGUGAGGGAUGACGGCCUUCGGGUUGUAAACCUCUUUCAGCACCGACGAAGCGCAAGUGACGGUAGGUGCAGAAGAAGGACCGGCCAACUACGUGCCAGCCGCCGCGGUAA
rnacentral:rRNA from 1 species